CAGAGGAGGAGGCGCGCGACAGGGGAUCAGCUUCGAACUUCCUCCUCUGAUCGCCUACCACCUUCUCCGCCGAAAGCGGUCACCAGUAGGUCAAGGGAUUUUCCUUCCUCCGGUGAUCGUGCAUUCACCUUCCCUCCAUCAGCGCAAUCCACCGGGGCUUCAUCUUCCGUGAUCCAUCGCCAUAUCAACCUUCACCAUCGCCGAACAUCCGCUAUCACGAGAGAAGGGGUUACCCACUUCUUGGGAUUUUACAGUUUGUCCUAACCCUAAUUCUACAUCACCAAUUCUUGGAUCCAACAGCAACUCUGUUCGCAUUCAUUCCUAUCAUCUCCAAAGCUGAUCCUCCAUCCUUGGCCACUUCCGAUUUGCUUCUCCCUUACAGAUCCGAUUCGGCACAAGAUUGGGAUGCCCUAGCUUGGUUGUAUGAGAACUCACAUGGAUAAUUUACUGAGUCGUAUUCAGCAUAUCAGAGCCCACGGGGAUUUCAGGAUGAUUAUAUUCCUACUUGGUCACAACCAUGCCAACAAGUCGAGCCAACUUACUAGGAGCAAUCCAAGACUAUAGCAAAGAAGUUUCUGCCCUCAAUCAAAUAAAAACUUCAAUGCAAAAAAUAGAUGAGCUCUUGUAGCAAAAUGAAGCACACAUGCUCUAGUCCCGGUAAAGAAAUGAAGUGUCAUUACAGAAUUGCCAAAUACAGUUGGAUCAAAUUGCAAUAUCUAUUAGACAGCUACAAGCGCAAGGCUCCAGUCAAUUCCACUCAGAGAUCAUUCCUUAUGGGAUUGACGUGUCUUAGGAGAUGGAUUGUGAAGUUUGUAGUAAUAUUGUCUCUGAGUCUACAACUCUAUAUGAUUCCUCUACUUGCAUUGUGAUAUUGUAGUUCUAAAUGAUCCUUACUCUGAUAUUAUUGUUGUUGCAGAUUCUGUUUGCAAAAUUUUUAUUGACACUGUUGAUGCUGCAGGAGUAGAUUUGGUUGAUGAUGUAGGUGUUGUUGAUGAUGAUGGGGAGCUAGUUGAGCAUGACUAUGCUUUUGUUGAUGGGGAGAGUGUAGGAACUUUUGUUGUGGAGCCAGAGCCCCAAGAAUCAUUUCCUUUAGUUGUAUUACCACUAGAGCUAGAGCUUUUACCUGAACAGGAGGAUGCCAUAUUCAUAUCUUCAGAAACUCCAGGGAUUGACAUUAUUCCAUCUUUUUCAUACCCCGCAUGCGUACGGGAAGUGUUGUCUUUUCUUGUCUUUGUUCUAAAGUGGGUGCUUAAAUUGAACCGUCUCAAACCUCCAAGAAUAACUUUCAAAGAGCACAAGGUGAAGGGAGCGGUCAUGACUUCAAUUUAUAGCAUUCCACUUUCAUAAUGGCUCCUAUACCUAAACCGUCUUCAACCACCUAGAGGUACCAUCGAGGAGACAUCUGGAGGGAGCGACAUUUAUUGACACUGAUCUCUUGAGCAUAGCUCUCUCCUCCACAAGGACCAUCCAUCCCACUACCGGUGUGGAUAUUGCUCUUAAAUCGUCUUCAACUACCAAGAAUAAAGGAGAGUUCGUUCUUUGUUUUUCUUGUUACGUUAUACAUUUCUUUACUUCAUACUUUGUUUUCACAUUUUUCUUUCAUACUUUGCACUUUGUUUGGUCUAUACUUCGUUUGGUUUGAAUAAAAAUCUCCAUGUGUUUUCUUUGUAAUGCCUUGAGAAUCGUAAAAGUUAUUUAAGCUUGACUAUCAAAUUUUAGGUCACUUGACACGAUUGAAUGCUUCACUUGCAUACUAUUGGUUUGUGUGGUGAUGGAUUCUAUUUUGAUUAAUUGAGUUUGAUUGUCAAAUUACUUAGAGAGGACUACUUCAAGCCUAUACUUUAUUCACUUUUUGUGUGUUAUGCACUCAUGACAAUUUAACUCUAGAACUUGUUUUGCUCUUUUUGAAAUCACAAUAUCAUAUAUUUGGAUGAACAUGAUGAAGGAUAUAUCUUUCCUAUUUUUUGAUUUCUUUUCCUUCCAAACUCUAGUUGAAAAACUCAACAAAAAUGUGCCUUUUGUCACCUUGCUUUGUCAUCCUUCUAUUGAGAGUUUUGGUUGAUUAUCUUGAUGACUUAGAUUGUUGGAUGACAGACAAGACUUUAAGUGCGGCGGAUGUUAUGUGUUGGAAGUUUAUGGAGCUAUACAUUGAUUAGAAAUUCUGAAAUUGUGGAAUUUUGGCAAGUGUCCUAAGCUUACUUAGAGAACUUGAAGAGACAAUUACUUUUAGUUUGAGAGGGUUGUUUGAAGCAAAUACCAGCUGGUUUGAAUGUGCAGUUUUGGCAUGCUGUAAAGAAAUGCUGUGAAAAUGUGUUUUUGAGCCAUCAGUUAUUCAAAUGCUGUUAAAAAAAAAUCAGAUCCUAGGAGGGAAGUAAGUGUGGUGUUUAGAUCAAAUUAUAGAAUGGGAACUUGAUGUAUAAGUUGUUCAAAUUAUUAAUCAGCAUUUGAAUUAUGUUACCGAAUUUGUUAAGCUGAAACUAUUUUCCUACUCUUAAUGUUUAGUUGGUGUGUGGGUGCUGAGUUUUUAUUUAAGUGUGGUUUUGUAACCAUUGAAGUUCAUAAAAAUUAAUACAUAGUUAGGAACUGGCACAUUAGAUAGAAGCUUGGUGUUGAGUAGUCCAAGGGCUUGAAAGAAAAUUCAAACUUAAACUGUUGUGCCAGAAUUUCUUGUAAUCCCUUGUAUAAUGAUUUCUGAAUUUUUAAGGGGUAUGUAUCAAGUUAAUCAUGUGUUUGCCAAACCCUAUUGCAGUUUUAUUCUAAAGAUAACUUCAGAAUAAGUACAUUCCCUGUUGUGGUCAUUUGGUAUUCUUUCUGACCUUAUCCAAAUUUCCAGAAUUCGGAUCAAGAGAAGGAAGGAAAACAAAGGGUUGCAGAAUCUGGAGUAGGAUGAUGAAUAGAGUGAAGUGUAUGAGAUGAAUGGCUGCAGUAAUUAGAGAAUGGUGUGGCUGCUAUGAGCAACUCAUUCAAUUGUGGCUUUUGUCAUUUCUGUAUUAACUAGAAUCUUCAAAUCUAAACAAGAGCUUCUGCUGAAUCUGAAUUUUCAAGGCCUGUUUCCUUGGACAGAUUUCUGAAAAUUGGAAAAGAAAACCAGAGAAUGCAACUCCAGUGAGUUGAUUUUUGAAACUGCCUAAUUGAUUCCUGAAACUUCAUUGUGCAAAUUGUCAAGUUACUGAACUCAAAUUCAAUUCGAUUGCUGAACCACCAAAGAUACACAUCAAAUUAGAGAAGAGUUUAAGGACAUAGAAGUCAUAAUUUCCUUUUGGCAACUUAAAAUUUUGAGGUCUUGCUGAAUUCUGAAUUCUGAAGAUCAGAAUCUGGAAUUUGAGGGAACAGGAGUUCAUAGAUUAGCCCAAUUCUGGAUUUUUGCUGAAAGAAAAAAGAUCAAGAUGCAGCCAAUACAUAAAUCCAAAUUACUGCUAAGGAAUUGCUGAAAUUGCUGAAACAGAAUUCUAAAAAAACUGUAAACUUGUUUGCGUGCCAAGUUGAAUUGCAGUUCCUAAUCAGUGACAACCUCAAGUGAGGUUUCUAUCCUUCCAUUGUUAGUUGGUGUUACAAUCUCUCCAAUCCUGCCAAGUGCUCAAAACCUGUAAUUUGCUGAAUGCUGAUUCUGAAACUGAAGUGCUGAAAAAUCAGAGCUUAGUUUCAAUUCUGAAAUUUCUUUUUAAGCAGGAUUUCUGAUUCUGGUUUGAAGACAUGAAUUGCAGAAAUUAAUUCCAUCUUAGAGACUCCUAGCUGAUGCUUUUGGGGAUGGAUUGAGUUGUUUUUACCUGAAUGCUACAUCAGUUUAGUAGGACAGUUUGAGAGCAUUUCCAAGUCCUGUUGUGGCUGUUAGCUCUGGAUGAUGCUGCUGAAAAAUGUCCACAACCAUUCUUAUCUCAGAAACUUAAAAAAAACUGUACAAGAGUUGGAAAGUCUGUCGAAAGCAGAUGGAAUGAUGCUAGAUCUUGUUGCUGGAAAAGGUUUCAAAGAAACAGGAAGUUUCAGGGAUUGCUGAAAGCUGAAGAAGUUGCUAAAUUCUAAUCCUUAACUUUCUGAAUUGAUGUUGCUGUAUUUCCAGAAAUGGUUUCUGAAACUCAGUCCAGAAACUGAAAUUUUCUGCUGUAAUUCUGCAUUUGUUGGGAGCCACAUCAUUCUCAGUUGGUGUGGAGUAGCCAUGAACCUGAAAGAGAAUUUAAGCUGCUGUGUAGGAAUUUAUCAAAGUUGCUGAUUUCGGAUGUUGCUGGAAAUAAUUGCCCACAGCAGGUUGUAAUUCAAGGGCUGCUGAUUGGUAUAGUUAUUAAACCUUGUUUUGGUCCUUUACUUAUGCAAUAUGAAUGCAAUCAUUAAAGAUGUUCAGAUAACAAGUGCCAACUGCAGGGAAGAAAAGCUAAAAAUUUUCUUGAAUUUGAGUUUUCAGGCCAGUUUCUGAAUUCUGGGAAGCUAGUUGUUGUUGUUGAUAAUUGAGAAACCCUUUGAAUGUUAAUUUGAGUACCUAAAAUCUGUGAUGAUCCUUGAAUCUUCCUCCCAAUGAAGUGUAUAUGAUAGACAAGGAAUCAUGAGCUACUGGAAUUGAAAAUGCAAGAGACUGCAAUACAGAAAAAUUUGAAGAAACUGUUGCGUAUCAAAUUUGUUUGCAGGGUUCUAAUCAGUGAGAAAUCCAUGUGGAGUUUUUAAUCUUUUAUUGUCAUUUGGUGUCCAACUCUUCUCAAGUUCCUUAUGAACAAAAAUUUGAAACUUGCCAGGAAUUAGAGUUCUGAAACUAACACUGAAAACUGAUUUCUGAAGUUGAAGCUAUUGGGAAGGAGAAAUUCAAGAGAGGGAGUUGCUGAAAUAAUCCAGCUGUUGGAUUGUCACAAACAUGUGAAACCGGCUCAGUAGAAGUGAACUCUGAAGUAACAGAGAAUUCAAUCAGACUUAUACAUUACUUCAGAGGAAGAAAUAAGAAUCAGUAACACUCAAGCGCAGGAAUUGAGAAGUUUUAUCAAGCACUUUGAUGCAGGGAGGUUACUGAAUUCUUUGAUGUUAUUGAUCAACUUCUGAUUGCCAAUCUUGAGCAGAGACUGAUGUAGGAGGAAUAUCCAGUGAACUAAUUGUAAUUACUGAAUCACUCAUACAAAUCAAAGAGUUUCAUUCAAGAAUUCUGAUUUCUGAAGCUGGUUUUUGAGCUAUUGCAAUUCAGGGAUUGAGAAUUGAGAAGCCUCUUCUCAAAUUGUUGUUGUUGAUUCACUCCAAUCUUAACUGGUCCUUCACCCAUACAAUUAAGAGAGAUGACAAAUAGAUUAACUAACAGUAAACUCAGGAUUUAUUCAAAGAGUUCUGAAUCUGUGUCAGAAGGAAAAAAAAAACCUGUUUGAUACCAAAUCCAAGUGCUGUUAUUUCAGUACUAAAUGGGAUUCAUUGCUGAGCUAAAUUCUCCAUGAACUCAGCUGUAAUCACCUGGAAAUCAGAAUUCUGAAACUCAAUCCAGAAUUGCAGAAGUGCUUUGAGCUUGAGAAAUCCUGCUUGUCAAAGUAAUGAAACUGGCUUCUGCAAUUCCAAUUGAAGAUGUAUUCUGAAAAAACUGAAUUGAAUCUGUUACCUCACUUUAUCUCUGAAUUGUUGACAUUCAGCUUAGGAGAUUCACAUCAAAUUAAGAGGAUCUUGGAGGGCAGUAGGGCACUUCAAAGAAACUUGAUAGGAUUUCAAAGAAAUGAUGAAAGUUUAAUGGUGGAAUAAGGAAGUCUUAGAAGGGUUAAAAAUCUGAAGUUCAGGGGUUGGUAUAUCUUGAAUGAAUGUGAUUAAUUUGACAAGGAAACUAGAAAACCCCCAAAUAGGGAAACUUCCUGCCAGUUUCAUUUUUGACACCAUUAAAACAUAGCGAGUGGUGGUUAAAGAAUCUUCAUUGGAGUUGGUUGAUACAGACCAAAGCUCAACAAGACACAUUCGUUUUAUAUAUAUUAAUUGGUCAACUCAUGAGGCGAUCAAAGAAUCAUGGACUUGAGACCAAGCUCUGAGAUAAUCUGAAUUGUCCAUCCAAGACCUGAGGCAAUCUUAACUAUUCAUUAAAGGUCUGGUCUAUCCAAAUCAAGGAAGAAUAGAUCAUAGUCAUAGAUCAAGAUCUGGAACCUUGCAUCGAGAUUUGAACUCAUCCCAACCCUUAGAUCAAAUCUUAGUUGAUGAGAACCGUUUAUCCAAAUCUGGAGCAGUUCAAAUGAGAAGCCAUUUUCGAUCGUCAUUUUGCUACAGCAGAUCGCGUCAAAAAUAGAGGAGGCGCGCGACAGGGGAUCAUCUUCGAACUUCCUUCUCCGAUCGCCGGCCAGUACCGUCUCCAUCAACAACAGUCAUCAUGAGGUUAAGGGCUUUUCCUUCCUCCUGUGAUUGUGCAUUCACCUUCCCUCCGUUAGUGCAAUCCACCGGGGCUUCUUCUUCCACGAUUCAUCGCCAUAUCAACCUUCAUCGUCACCGAUCAUCUGCUAUCACGAGUGAAGGGGUUACCAAGUUUUUGGGAUUUUCCAGCUUGUUCUAAUCCUAAUUCUACUUCCCCAAUGCUUAGAUCCAACAGCAACUCUGUUCGCAUUCAUUCCGAUAAUCUCCAAAGCCGAUCCUCCAUCCUUGGCCACUGUCGAUUUGCUUCUCCCUUACAGAUCCAAUACGACACAAAGAUUGGGAUGCCCUAGCUUGGUUGUAAGCUCUAUUUCGAGUCCUAGAUUCAUUCAUUGUUGGUUGUAGAUGUAGGAUCGUAGAUUCCUUCCAUGUUAGCAAUUUUGAUGGAUGCACGUUAUGUUUCAAUUGUCAUUUACACCGGAUUUGAAUUUGGUUUAGUUCUUACUUAAUGUAAUAGAUGUUAGU